AUGACUGAAUAGGUCGGCAUUUGAGUCCAUCGCUUGUUCUGUUUGUUUACUCCAUUGAUUUACAGCAGCAAACAAAUGGAAUAAGCGACGGACUCCAAUCGCCCACCUAUUUCUAUAGUCAU
rnacentral:pre_miRNA from 1 species